AGCAGUCGCCACGGUAAUACAGAGGGUGCAAGCGUUAAUCGGAAUUACUGGGCGUAAAGCGCGCGUAGGUGGUUUGUUAAGUUGGAUGUGAAAUCCCGGGCUCAACCUGGGAACUGCAUCCAAAACUGGCAAGCUAGAGUAUGGUAGAGGGUGGUGGAAUUUCCUGUGUAGCGGUGAAAUGCGUAGAUAUAGGAAGGAACACCAGUGGCGAAGGCGACCACCUGGACUGAUACUGACACUGAGGUACGAAAGCAUGGGGAGCAAACAGGAUUAGAUACCCCUGUAGUCCCUGUCUCUUAUACC
rnacentral:rRNA from 1 species